UGCGCGUCGGCUCUGCCUCCCCACAACGUGCGUCCGCUACACGCUUCCCACGACACGCAAGGGGAUCUCUUUCUGCAACGAAUCCCUCACCAAUUUGAGCGUCGAGGACAGGCAUAUCCUUUCCCGUAAGCAAUCAUCAUUAAUAAGGAGAAAAUAUUUAUGUUCAGUUUUGUGCUUGCUAAUUCACCCCAAACGUCCGGUCUUGCUAUUUUUGUUAUAUAUAUGUUCAGUUAUGUGCUUGAUAAUUUACUCCACACGUCCGACCUUGCUAAAAAAAUUAGAGGCACAGAUCUUGCUAUUAUCUAUACCUACUUCGUAUCACCUGAAGAAGCUACGUUGAUUGCCCAUGUUUUCUUUGCUAUACUACUUCUUCUUAGCUAAUGUCGUUCAAGACUAGAGCAUGUUUAUCUGAACUAAGAAAGAAUGCUAACUUAUUUGGCUGAACUACAUCCCUCCUCUCCGUGAUGGCUGCUAUCUCCUUUUUGUUUUGGGAAAGGACCUCAGAUUAAUUAAACGUCCAGCCAGAGAUACAAGGCAUCCCAUACAGUGUGAAUGAUUUACUCAAGUUCUAAGCUAUCCAAGGCGUUGGAUUUUUCCUGGACAUGGUUCAGAACGAAGACUGUACUGACAUAUAGUAAUUGAAAAGCUUACAUCACAGAAUGAUAUAAGUAAGAAAUGAUACUCAAUGUAUUGGAACACUGAUGUUGGUUUUAGAUAUGGAGUAAAGUUUCCCAGGGAAGAAUCACUUUUCUGAACCAUGCACAUUUUCUCACAUUAUGCCAGUUAGAAGGAAGAGAGUUAAGAACAUUAACACGUAUCUUUGGUGAAUAUCGUUAUACUAUGUCCAAUGAUAUACCAUGUAUACAUAUGUAAAAGGUUAAAAGUGACAAAUAUCUACCAAAAGAAACCAUGCCUAGGAGCUAGAUAGAUUCUGGCCAAAUAUAUUCUGAAGAAGGGAGUUGGAACCUUGCAGUUGAUUUUCUACAUCAAAUUUGGUAGCCUGGAGAUGCAGAAGGAGUAGGCACAAGGAGGCGGACGGGGGUAGUAAAUUUACUAUGUGUUAGUUGUUACACUGAAAGAAAGCAUUAGAAAGUUAUAUAAAGAUAACGAGGAAUGGGUAUAUUAUUUGUAGUAAACAAAUCUAGACACAUCAGUUGUAAAUGUUUAGGUUUGUGAAGUUUGUGAAGACGAUGUUCGUGGAGAAUCGAUGUUGAAAUUUGUUUGCAAUAUCAUUUACUUUCCAUACUUGUUUAUUGGCCUAGCAAAUUCAUAUGUACGGCUUGCAUUGCCAAUCAUGGUACUAUUUUUCGUGUUUAUGUAUGGUAUUUUCCCAAAGAUUCACAUAUGCUGUCAGCUGAGUUGGGGGCAAGCCUGGAAAUCACUUGGAAGUUAGAGGAGGUGUGGUGUGUAUUCAUGCAGUUCUGCUCAAAAAAACUUUAUUCUAUCACUGUAUUAUAACCCUGCAAAUUAAUUUUUGUUUUUCAUUAAUGCAUCUUCAACAGUUUACCAGUGAGUAUAGAACUUAUUUAUCUUUGAUCUGAUAUAAGAGGUACUAUAAUUCUUGUCGUGACAAAACUCAAAUUUAGAUUACUUUUGGGCAACUGAAGUUGGGGUUUAGACUUAUGCUUCAUGCAUAUAUGACAAAAUUGGACAUGAUAUAGAAUUAUAGACUGUAUUACUCAUCUCCUUUGAACAUAUAUCAUUUUCAAUUUCUCUGUUUUUUUCUUGUUCUGUAGCCAACAUUGGUAAUGAAAUGACACAAUAUAGAGCAUGAGAUGUGUCGAUGGCAUGUAACAUUUUUCUUAUUUGUCACCUAAUUUGCAGUUUCUUUUAUAUCCAUUUAUAACUUUUUAAAUAUUCAAAAUGUGCUUACUGGAAUUAGUUGUUUCCUGUCAAAGUUGAGGGCUUUAAACAGUGGACUGUAAUGUGAGUACUGUAGAUUAGAAUGUGCUUACUUGUUUCAUCUGUUUUUUACCACUGCAAGUGAAUAUGGCCUACGUACAGAGGUGAAAGCUUUAUCAAUUAAUAGGAAGUUUGUGAUUGGAUGGAUGCUCCCAACAACCAGUUCUUCCAAGGACAUCCCCGUGGCUCCGCGACACUCUUUCAGGUUUGCCUCUUCUUACUUAUCUAGCCACUGCCCAGUGGGUGUUAUUAUUGUUGUUAGUCCAUGACUGAUAGAAUCUGGAGGUUGUUAAUGCAGUUACUCAAUGGACUAAUAUGACCUUUGCACCGAACCAUUUCUUCUAAAAAUUAUUCACCUUACGUCCUUACCUUUGUUCUACCGUACUACUUUUAAUUUUUAUCAGCAUGCUCCAGUGCCUAUAAAUUAUUGCUAUCGUAGCUUGUGCCAACAUGAAUGUGUGAAAUUUCUAAUGUAUACAGAUUUUGCUAAUGGUCAUAGCUCCAAAUUUCAUCUUGGUAAAUUCAUGUGCUUAACUUUUCUUUUAGGUAAGCUAAGUUUCUCUUCCCGGGGUUUAUAUUGCCUGGACGUUAAUUUUUCUAUUGCCUCAUCUUGGGUCAUACUUUGUGAUACAACCAUCUAUUUUUAUGUGCCUUGGCUUUAUUAUUAUUUAUUUUGAGUUCACUCAACAUAUCAUAAUCUUUUUUUGCUUUAUCCGCAUUUUAGUUCAACAUGCCAUCUUGCAGACAUGGCUACUAUAUCUGUUUGUUUCAAGCAUCAGCGGCAUCCAUGGGCUUGACAACAAUCUGAAGCGAGUAAUUGGUGGUGAGAGAUUUCUGAAUAAUGUAACCUGAAUAAGGAUGCUAUCGUGCUAUUCAUCUAUGUAUGCUGCUAUUGUAGGAACACAAUUUCUGAAUAACCAAAUUGGCACAUUUUCAGAUCAACAUUUUGUCUUCAACAUUACUAAAAUUUUUAGAGUUCUGAUUCAAUUGUAUUUCAGAAUACUUGCGACCUGAAGAAUAGAGCAAUUCUUAGUGUUUGUUUGGAAGCCUUUUUUUAGAAGUAUUUAUAUAGGUUAUUUAAAUUGGGUUCAAUUAUUUUUCCUUCAAUGAAAUUUCAUGCCCCUAUAAAUAUAAUCUCUUAACUAUCUAAACAUGCAUUGCACUAUGUGUUGACAUGCUACCAUUGUCUAAUAUAUACCUAAACUUUCAUUUUACUCCACCCGAAUUUUC
rnacentral:lncRNA from 1 species